rnacentral:rRNA from 1 species
GAUGAACGCUGGCGGCGUGCCUAAUACAUGCAAGUCGAGCGAACGGACGAGAAGCUUGCUUCUCUGAUGUUAGCGGCGGACGGGUGAGUAACACGUGGAUAACCUACCUAUAAGACUGGGAUAACUUCGGGAAACCGGAGCUAAUACCGGAUAAUAUUUUGAACCGCAUGGUUCAAAAGUAAAAGACGGUCUUGCUGUCACUUAUAGAUGGAUCCGCGCUGCAUUAGCUAGUUGGUAAGGUAACGGCUUACCAAGGCAACGAUGCAUAGCCGACCUGAGAGGGUGAUCGGCCACACUGGAACUGAGACACGGUCCAGACUACUACGGGAGGCAGCAGUAGGGAAUCUUCCGCAAUGGGCGAAAGCCUGACGGAGCAACGCCGCGUGAGUGAUGAAGGUCUUCGGAUCGUAAAACUCUGUUAUUAGGGAAGAACAUAUGUGUAAGUAACUGUGCACAUCUUGACGGGACCUAAUCAGAAAGCCACGGCUAACUACGU